GGUGUGCCUAUGAUGAAUGUUGAACUUGCGUCAGGAUUUGAACCACUGGAUUGGGCAUGUAAAUCUCAAUAGGUUUUUUCUGAGGCACAUU
rnacentral:snoRNA from 1 species